rnacentral:rRNA from 1 species
CCUACGGGCGGCAGCAGUGAGGAAUAUUGGUCAAUGGGCGAGAGCCUGAACCAGCCAAGUCGCGUGAGGGAGUACUGCCCUAUGGGUUGUAAACCUCUUUUGUCGGGGAGCAAAAGCCGGACGUGUCCGGCUGUGAGAGUACCCGAAGAAAAAGCAUCGGCUAACUCCGUGCCAGCAGCCGCGGUAAUACGGAGGAUGCGAGCGUUAUCCGGAUUUAUUGGGUUUAAAGGGUGCGCAGGCGGAGUUUUAAGUCAGCGGUAAAAUCGUGGGGCUCAACCCCAUCCAGCCGUUGAAACUGGGGAUCUAGAGUGUGCGAGAGGUAUGCGGAAUGCGUGGUGUAGCGGUGAAAUGCAUAGAUAUCACGCAGAACCCCGAUUGCGAAGGCAGCAUACCGGUGCACAACUGACGCUCAGGCACGAAAGCGUGGGUAUCGAACAGGAUUAGAUACCCCAGUAGUC